rnacentral:rRNA from 1 species
UGGGGAAUAUUGCGCAAUGGGGGAAACCCUGACGCAGCAACGCCGCGUGAAGGAUGAAGGUUUUCGGAUUGUAAACUUCUUUGACGAGGGACGAAUAACUGACGGUACCUCGAAAACAAGCUCCGGCUAACUACGUGCCAGCAGCCGCGGUAAUACGUAGGGAGCGAGCGUUGUCCGGAUUUACUGGGUGUAAAGGGCGAGUAGGCGGGAUGACAAGUCAGAUGUGAAAACUAUGGGCUCAACCCAUAGCCUGCAUUUGAAACUGUUGUUCUUGAGUGAUGGAGAGGCAGGCGGAAUUCCUAGUGUAGCGGUGAAAUGCGUAGAUAUUAGGAGGAACACCAGUGGCGAAGGCGGCCUGCUGGACAUUAACUGACGCUGAGGCGCAAAAGCGUGGGGAGCAAACAGGAUUAGAUACCCUGGUAGU